GCGGAGCCUUAUCUGCUGGUAAUUUAUCUGCGUUCGUUGCCACCAACAACUGAACACGCACACAGAAACAGACUUUCGCUCUCUCUGACUCUUUAGUUAAGCUCCUCUUUUUCUGCUCAAAGAUCACUUGAAGAAAGAACCCAGUUUGCAUUUCUAUUGAAAAUGGUGAAUACUAUAUGUUUGACCCCUGUUUGCUCUUCUCUCUCUCCUAACAAACCAGGAGUAGUUCUUGGGAAUUCCGCUGCUGGGAAGGUUCUUAGGGUGAACAAAGUUUUCCAAACUUUCAAAUAUAGUAAAUUUCAAUCUUUGGAAGUUAAGGUGAGUGGUUGCUAGGAAAAGAUUUAUUUUAAUCUCAUCCGCUAUAUCUAUAUGCUUGUUGCUUGGUUUAGAAACGCUACAAUAGUUUACUAAUGGGCGCUAGUACUUUUCUAACUCGCCACGCAUUAUGUUGUAUGAGAAACCAUUUAUAUUGCUAUUUGAAAGUCACAAAGAGUUCUUAAUUGAUUGGAUUAAAAUAUGUGGUAAUUUAUAGUGUGUGAAUUAGCAAAAUUAAGGAAGAAAACAACGAAGUAAUUGGAGAUGGAUGGUAGGGAUAUGAAUGACCAUUCUGAUAAUCUUUGAUGAAAAUAUUAGUGGUAAUCGAAGAGUAUGGUCAAAAUCCAAAUCUUUGACGCAAAUUGAUGUGGUGGAAUGCUUAUGAGACAUGAUCAUUGAUGCCUAUGUAUGAUGUAUCAAACCAGAGAAAACUUUGCUGAUAUAGUUUUUUUUUUACCAUAUUUUAGUGUUCAUUUCAUGAGAUGGCAAUCUAAGAUAGUAUUUGCACUUUAGUGCAUUUUUGGGGCAGUGGAUUGGCAAUGGUUAAUGGCAAAAGUAGGUUACUGAACUAGUUGGCUGCAAGAAAUAUUAUGCCCUUGCUAAUGAUGAAUUCUGGGAUCAAGUGGGCCCAAUCAUUGUAGAAUAGAACUCUAGAGAAAUGUUAGUUUUUCAUGGAAUACAAUUUACCUUGUGUUUGAAUGAGGGAUUUACAAUGUGGGAUUUGAAUUUGAUAAAAUUAUAGAUUUUUUUUUUCAAUUGAUUAGACUCAUGAAUUUAUAUUAGACUCAUAAAUGUGGAAAUCAUCUUAUUUGAGUGUGGAGUUGAAAUGAAAGCUUGAUAUUCCUUUUUUCUCUUUUUCUGGUAUAUUUCCUUGGAAGUCACUUUUCUCUGUUUGACAGGCUACAGAUAGUGGUAAAAGCACUAAACCAAAUAGCUUAGUCUGUCCUGAUUGUGAUGGAAACGGUGCUAUAUUGUGUUCCCAAUGCAAAGGAACAGGAGUCAAUUCUGUUGACCACUUCAAUGGACAGUUUAAGGCCGGUGGAUUAUGCUGGCUCUGCAGGUACUAGCAGCAAUUUUUCUUUGCACCCUUCACUGUUAGUUAUUUAGUGUUAGAACAGCAUAUAAAAUACUAGUGCUAGUAUUAUGUUUCAAUCAGUCCGUGAAGAAGUAAUUCAUUUGAAAAUUUGUCUUGGAAACACAUCAUUGCCAUUGUUAAUAUGAAAUUAAACAUGCUUUUGAAAUCAAUUAUUAUUCAAGUUUGAUCACUUGAUUAUUUUUCUUUUCUUUUCCCUGCAUUCUCUUGAUUAUCAUUCUCUAAAUUCUGCGUCAUUUUUCAAUAUAAAACCCCAAGACACAUUCUUACCUUUCUAGUUCUUGGAUUUUGUGCACAGAUGUCAAACCAUACUGCUAGAUUGGGCAUUAUAGGAAACUCCAUAACUUUUUUGUGUUUUAUUUGAACAAAUGUUGGCAACAUAAAAUAGUUUCUGAUGAAGAGAUUUGACACGUGCUUUAUCUAGUCUGAGGCUCUGAGCAACAGUCGGACCGAAACCAGCCUGAAUUGAACUGACUGGUCCUGUUUGGUUCCAGGUCAAAUUUGGUUUUCCCUUCUAAAAAAUAUGGAAAAAAAUUUUGACUGUCAGAUUUGAUCAAAACUGGUCUGAACCAGGAUCCCUGUGGUCUGGUCCCAGUCCCCUUAAACUGCUGAACCAGACCACAGGCAACCCUAGCUGUAUCCCUCCUCCUGGAUGGAGAAAAAAAAAAAAACACAAAUUUUAGCAUGCUUUAGAGAUCUGAAUUCCCUCCUUUAUGUCUUGUUCUUCUUAUUGUUCUUUCUUAGUGCUGAAUCACUAUCAAAUUUCUGCCCUGGCUUUUUUUUGAGGGAAAUUGACACAAAUCUGCUUCCAUCUGUGCUACUAUUUCCUUGCAGAGGUAAAAGGGACAUUCUGUGUGGAAGUUGUAAUGGAGCUGGCUUUAUUGGUGGAUUCAUGAGCACUUUUGAUGAUUAGAGUCUUGUAAGCACUGAAUCUUCACCAAGUUGCCAAUCCUCAAAACUACACAUCCUAACAUUUUUCUAUCUGUUUUGCUUUGUGUCAUAUGAAGAAAUGCUUGUUGGCUUGAAAUUUUUGUACUUUUUACUAUGGGCUACAGAAUUUCCCUGUGCUACUUGCAGGUGAAAUAAAAACUGGAGGAAAUCCUUACUACUUUGGGUCUUUUGUUAAUUUGUAACAACAAAAUACUUUAUCCUAAAACAAAAAAAGAAAAUCCUAACUUUGAUCUUAUUCCAAUA
rnacentral:misc_RNA from 1 species